ACCCGCUGAACUUAAGCAUAUCAGUAAGCGGAGGAAAAGAAACUAACUAGGAUUCCCCGAGUAGCGGCGAGCGAAAGGGGAGAAGCCCAGCGCCGAAGCGCGCGGCCUCUGGUCGCAGCGCAAUGUGGCGUUUCGGCGGUGACUCGCAGUGUUUGCCCUGGCGCGUGUGCCUCUGAAUAGGACUGUCCGCAGCGGGUGUCAGGCCUCUAGGUGCCGAGCGGGCGGGCGCAGCAUGUCAUCGUCGCGGAGUCGGGUUGCUUGAGAGUGCAGCCCAAAGUGGGUGGUAAGCUCCAUCUAAGGCUAAAUACCUAGUGCGAGACCGAUAGCAAACAAGUACCGUGAGGGAAAGUUGCAAAGAACUUUGAAAAGAGAGUUCAAUAGUACGUGAAACCGUUCAGAGGCAAACGGACAGAACUGGGCGAGUUCGCCGUCGUCAUUCAGCCGGUGCGUCCUCGGGCGCGACGGUGCACUUGGCGGCGGCGGAGCACGACGACCGCCUGCCAGGUCGUCAGAAGCGCGGCGGCAAGGUGGCGACGCGUUCGCGCGUCGUGUUACAGGCCGCCGUGGCGUUGGCAGACUUGGUGGGCGAGGAGCGCCUGCGGUGCCCUCUCCUCGCGAGAGCGGCCCGCGCGUGUGGGCUUGGGGCCGUCGGCGGCGAACUGCUCGCAGUUUGUCGUUUGCGCGCGCCUCUUGUCUUGCCGCGCGGUGCCGCGGGCACCCAGGGUCCGGGUCGUGUGGUUCCUGGCACUCUGUCCGACCCGUCUUGAAACACGGACCAAGGAGUUGAGCACGUGCGCAAGUCGAUGGGCAUCAAGAACCCCAGUGGCGCAGCUAAGGCAAAACGGGCGUGAUCCGGCACUGGCGUGCCGGCGCAACGCCGGCCCGCAGCCGACUCGUUGCGAGUGGCUGCGGCGCAAGAGCGUGCGUGCUCAGACCCGAAAGGUGGUGAACUAUGCUUGAGCAGGGCGAAGCCAGAGGAAACUCUGGUGGAGGCUCGCAGCGAUCCUGACGUGCAAAUCGGUCGUCAAACUUGAGCAUAGGGGCGAAAGACUAAUCGAACCGCCUAGUAGCUGGUUCCCUCCGAAGUUUCCCUCAGGAUAGCUGGCACUCGGGAUAAAUGGUUUUAUCCGGUAAAGCGAAUGAUUAGAGGCAUUGGGGACGAAACGUCCUCAACCUAUUCUCAAACUUUAAAUGGGUAAGAGGCGCGACCCUUCCUGAUCGGGGUCGCGUGCUUGAACAGAGAGUGCCCAGUGGGCCGUUUUUGGUAAGCAGAACUGGCGCUGUGGGAUGAACCAAACGUGCGGUUAGGGUGCCUAACGCACGCUCAUGAGAUACCACAAAAGGUGUUGGUUGAUAUAGACAGCAGGACGGUGGCCAUGGAAGUCGGAAUCCGCUAAGGAGUGUGUAACAACUCACCUGCCGAAUCAACUAGCCCUGAAAAUGGAUGGCGCUGGAGCGUGCGACCCAUACCGCACCGUCGGGGCAAUGCGUGCGAAAUGCCAGGCCCCGAUGAGUAGGAGGGCGCGUUGGUGGCGUUGAAGCGUAGUGCGUGAGCACGCGUGGAGCCGCUUUCGGUGCAGAUCUUGGUGGUAGUAGCAAGUAUACAAAUGAGAACUUUGUAGACCGAAGUGGAGAAGGGUUCCAUGUGAACAGCAGUUGGACAUGGGUCAGUCGGCCCUAAGAGAUCGGAGAACUCCGUUCUGAACGGGGAGACAGUAGCGGGGCGGUUGAUCUGCCCGGGGUGAGUGCCGCAAAUUUGAGCCCGGCGGAAGGGGGCGAGGGCGAGAGCUGCAAUCCACACAGAGCGGAGUCGCGCCGUGCUCGCGACCGGACUGUGGGCGUGCGUGCGCCGUCAAAUCUGGGUGUACAGGAAUUGACGGAAGCGCGGCGCUGCGCGUCCGGCCGGCCGCGGGCUGCCACGACCACCUUGGUUUCCCUGUCGUAGCGGGGCGCCCGGUCGUCGGCGGCGGCGCGACAACAUAGCCGCCACCAGCAGCAUACGCUCUCAACUUGAACGUGCCCCCCCGCACGGUCGCUAAACUUUGUCACCCUGCAAUUGUGCGCGCCCCCGGGGCGCCCCGCUAGAGUGAGCUGAUCCCCGAUGCGAUCGAAAGGGAAUCGGGUUAAUAUUCCCGAACCUGGCAGUGGAGAUUGGGCCCUCGGGCCCCAGUGCGGUAACGCAACCGAACUCGGAGACGCCAGCGUCGAUCCCGGGAAGAGUUCUCUUUUCUUUGUUAGGAGCGGACUCCCUGGAAUUGGCUUGUCCAGAGAUAGGGACGUUGCAUCCGUAAAGCGUCGCGCCUCACGCGGCGUCCGGUGCAUCGGCGCUGGCCCUUGAAAAUCCGAGGAAGGCAGUGUAAUUUUCACUCCAGGCCGUACCCGAAUCCGCAGCAGGUCUCCAAGGUGAACAGCCUCUGGUCGAUAGAACAAUGUAGGUAAGGGAAGUCGGCAAAUCCGAUCCGUAACUUCGGGAUAAGGAUUGGCUCUGAGGUGCGGGCUG
rnacentral:rRNA from 1 species